ACCUGGCUGGCUUAGUCGGUGGAGUGUGUGACUCUUGAUCUCGUUGUGGGUUCAAGCCCCAUGUUGGGUG
rnacentral:tRNA from 1 species